rnacentral:rRNA from 1 species
AACGAACGCUGGCGGCGUGCCUAACACAUGCAAGUCGAACGCGAAAAGCAGUAAUGCUGAGUAGAGUGGCGCACGGGUGAGUAACACGUAAAUGACAUGUCCUCGAGACGGGAAUAACCAGCCGAAAGGCUGGCUAAUACCCGGUAAGCCCACGUCUUUGGAGAUGAGGGAAAAGGGUCGGGAAUUUUCGAAUCCGAUCGCUUGAGGAGUGGUUUGCGGCCCAUCAGGUAGUUGGCGAGGUAAAAGCUCACCAAGCCUAAGACGGGUAGCUGGUCUGAGAGGAUGAUCAGCCACACUGGAACUGAGACACGGUCCAGACUCCUACGGGAGGCAGCAGUGGGGAGUCUUGCGCAAUGGGAGCAAUCCUGACGCAGCAACGCCGCGUGGGUGAUGAAGGUCUUCGGAUCGCAAAGCCCUGUCGGAGGGGAAGACGCUUGGAACGUCUAAUAGAUGAGCCAGGUGACGGUACCCUCAAAGGAAGCACCGGCUAACU